UUUUGCAGAUAGAUUGUACACAAUAUAUAAAGGUCCAGUAAAUUGUCAGCUUAAGUUUCAAGAUUUAUUUUCUUUGACCAAGCUAAGAACUCUGAAACUGAAGCAAUGCUACUUUACAGCCGGGAUGCCGUAUGAAUGAUUAAGAAUCAGUGGAUGAGGUAGCAUCAUCCUUGUGCUUAAUCAUGCCAGAGUCCACUAGAAUCGGAAUCUCUGCUGCUAGCCAUGGGGCAAGACCCAAACAAAGUGCAUGUGCUAUGCCAAACCUAGGACAAUUUUUGGCCCAAAGUGGCUUGAAAUGAACCGUUAAGCAAAUCUUCCCCCCUCUAUACAUCUUCUGGGUCUUGCCGUCGAGUUGAGGUAGCUCGAUCUCCGGAGCAGUAGAUGGAUAAGUAACGGGAAUAUCGAACUGGAGAUCAAACUCGUACUUUAGCAGGUUGUGGACGUACCAGCACUUACCGGUCCAACGCGUCCCCUCGGGAUUAGCAGCGGAGAUACGGAACCAAUCGUUGUCGUUGGACUUGUUCAUCUGAGUGUAAGCGAUCAAAGCUUUGUACUCCUCCUUCAGCCUCUGUGUCCAAGUAGCUCCGUCCCUUGGUCCAGCUUUCGUUGCCAGGAGCGGGAUCUGAGUCAAUGUCGAUUUCGUGUUUGGAUCCCAUCCCUCCAUUUUUCCCCCUCCGGUUAACCCUAACCCUAAUUUUG
rnacentral:misc_RNA from 1 species